rnacentral:tRNA from 1 species
GCGCCUAUCUGCUAAUUGGAAUAGGCGACCUGACUUUCAAUCAGGGAAAUAUCGGUUCAAGUCCGGUUAGGAGCGCCA